rnacentral:rRNA from 1 species
UACGAAGGGGGCUAGCGUUGCUCGGAAUCACUGGGCGUAAAGGGUGCGUAGGCGGGUCUUUAAGUCAGGGGUGAAAUCCUGGAGCUCAACUCCAGAACUGCCUUGAUACUGAAGAUCUUGAGUUCGGGAGAGGUGAGUGGAACUGCGAGUGUAGAGGUGAAAUUCGUAGAUAUUCGCAAGAACACCAGUGGCGAAGGCGGCUCACUGGCCCGAUACUGACGCUGAGGCACGAAAGCGAUGGG